rnacentral:lncRNA from 1 species
CUCUUCUGGAGUAUCAUAGCAUAAGAGAAGUUUGAUUUUUUUUUAAGCUGAAUGGAUCAAUUCCCUAUAUCAUGUAUUUUAUCAAAGAACAAUUCCAAUAGUUUAUUUUCCUUAAAAUUAUUUGAACUUGGUAACUUACAUAUAUAUUUUAUCUGAAGAUUUUACAAAUACUAAAAUAUUUAUUUUCAUUGCAUAGUCUUUUUUAUAUUUUCCCCUUGAUUUUUUUAUUUAUAUGUAUAUUACUUGCUUUUUUAUUGAAACUUGAUUUACAAUGGUAUGUUAGUUUCAGGUGUACAGCAAUUAUACAUUCUGUUUUGGGUUCUUUUCCAUUAUAGGUUAUCACGCUUUUGAAUUUUUCACUUCUUGACUUCAUCUACUUGAUCUUAAUGUCUCUGACCAUGUAAAAUCAUCUUAUUUUAGCUGAGUUCCUGCUGCUGAUUCUUUCUAACAUCAAGUCCUUUUGAAAAACACAUGGAAAUGAUUGCAAAGCCAGACUCCCCAAUAAUUCAGGGUUGGCUCAGGGACACAAGGAGCCCUGGCAGCAAGGGCAGUAGUAGCUGCCAGAGACCAGCACAGGAAACCAGCGUUUGUGUCACCAGUGCCAGGUCCAGCUCAUUAAAGUCCCCUGGAGUAUUGCACUUGUUUUCUGCCUCUUGAGGUCCCAGAGUUGUUCAUUUAUUUAUUUAGUCAUUCAUUCCACAAGCCUAUAAAGAACACCGGUUGCAAUGCCAAAUACUGGCUUAGUACCAAUGGUAAAAAGAAAAAAUAAAAUGUGACCUGUGUCUUCAAAAGCUUCCUUCUGGAAAAAGAACACCCCAGGGAUUCUGAUGAAUAGCUGGCCACAACAGAAGCAUUCAUAAAGUGCUAUGGGAACAUGGAGGUGGGAGUUCCCACAUCAGCCUAGAGAAACUGGAGAAUUGGAGAUAAUGCAAAACUGAAACUGAUAAUUAAAGAAAGAAUAGACAUUCAAAAGGAAAGAAGAUGAGGUCACAUGUGUGAGAACAAAUGGAUGGCAAAAAUUCAUGUUUAGGAAAUAAGAAAAUUAGUUCUGCGCAAACUGAAGGGCUUCUGAGGGGUACGGGACACUGUAAGUUGGAGCCAUGUUCUGGGAGAACAGGUGAGUAAAGGCUGGAAGGUAAAAGCCUUGCAUGAUGUGCAAAUUCUCCACUCUUUGUAUAUAACAUACACCCCCACAUCAGCACAUGGGCACACAUGCACACUCACAGAUGCACAUACUUUUAGGGCUGAAGUCUCGAUUAGCGUUAAAACUGAUUUAAUGCUAUCAGAGAUUCAAAUUAUAACAUCCUGAACCUGAUCUUGGAAAAAAUGUAUCUUCUUUCUAUCUCUUUCAAAGACAAGAUAUUAUUCUUAGCCUUAAGUAUUUCCUCAGGUUCCGGUGACUAUCCUCUGGAUGAUUAACUCACUCUACAAUUAUGAAGGAUUUCCUAAUAUUUUGCCUCUAUUCUUCCCUGUUGCAGCUUUCACUUAGGCUGCCCUGGCUGACAAAUGAGAAUCAUCAACUCCUAACUUAUUUAUAACAUCCUCUUAGAUAUUUGCAGGAGAGCUCAGGGAGCAAUUCAAACCAAAAUGCAGCUGCUUUCAGUUCGACUAAAUAAAAAACCAAGCAUAUUUAGUUUGGUCUCUCAGCCCAGUGAUAUUGUCAAUAAAAAGUUGUAUGUAGUAUGAAAGAAUCCUCGUUAUUGCCAGCAACCUGGCGUUGAGGUGAAACAUGUCUCCAGCUCUUUGAUGGUAUUUUCUGUUUUAUAAGAAGUACUAGCCAUGGAAAUUUACGUUUACAAACUUAGUUUAUGGUCCUUGGGAGAUGGUACCAGUGGAAAGAGUUCGAGAAUGAAAGAUUCUUAAAAACAAUAAAAUUGCUGAACAAUAACUAGCAAUGGAAAAACUGCUCGAUCCAUUAUCUGCAGGGAUAUAGAGGAGGCAUUCUGUUGGGCUAAAGCAUACUAUACUGGCAUAGAAUCUAGCAGAAAGUGAAUGAGAAAACAUAGAAAAUGUCCUUAGAAGAGUUAUUUUUUAUAUAUAAAUAGCAAUUAUUUUAGCACUAUGUAUUGAAAAAGCCCUGAAAUGCCUAUGUUUAAAUAAAUAUUGACCACAUGUUUGGGUCUAUUCUAGACUCUAUAUUCUGUCCCAGUGAUCUAUUUGUCUAUGUUGAUGCCUAUAGCACACUCCCCUUGAUUACCAUAGUUUUAUACUGAGGCUUGAAGUCUGGCAGUGUGUCAAAAUUGUUUUGUUUUGUUUUUUUCUAUUUGCAUUUCCAUAUACAUUUUUGGAGUAAUUUCUCAGCUUCUUUAUGUGUACAUGCAGUUUUUUGGGGGGGCGGGGGGUAGUCACGCCCAGGCAUAUAGAAAUGCCCAGGCCAGGGAUCGAACCCAUGCCACAGCAGUGACCAGAGCCAUAGCAGUGACAACACCAGAUCCUUAAUCCACUGUGCCACAAGGGAACUCCUUCUCAGCUUCUUUGUAAAAGCCUGCUGAGCUUUUGAUCAGUGUUAUGUAUCUAUACAUAAAAUACAGAUAACUGACAUUUUAACAAUAUUGCAUCUUUUGAAUCAUGAAUAUUAUGUAUUUUUCCACCCACUUGGUUCUCUUUAAUUUCUCUCAGCAGUAGUUUGUUUUUCAGGGUACAAAUGUUUAAGAUAUUUGUGAGAUUAUUUCAUAUUUUCAGCUCUUUUAAAUAAUAUUGCUUAAAAUUUUUUUAUUUCCUGGUUGCUUGUUGCUUUCGUAUAAAAUAACUUGAUAGUAUAGGUCACUCUUGUAUCCUAUGACCUAACUAAACACAUGUGUUAGUCCUAUUAGCUUUCUGUAGAUUCCACAGACUUUCUACAUAGAAGAUGUGUUAUGUGCAAGUGCACACAGUUUUACUUCUAUCUUUCCAACUGGAUUUUCUAAAGAAUAUUGCCUAAUGUUCUCAUUUUUGGUGCUCUUCAGCCCUUUAUGUAGAUACAGAUAGCAUUGUUCAGAUAAACUUUAUUCCUGAAGUAUGCUCUUUUGGUUUCAUGUACGUGAAGUUUUCCCAAAUACUUUUUUGACAGUUAUAUCAAAUUUAAUUCCACUAUAUUCAGGAAAUUUAAGGUAGGAUAUUAUGAAUACACAUUCCAUGACUUGAAUAAUUUUAAAUUUGUUAAUAUUUUUAUGGUCCAUAAAUGAUCCAUCUUGAUAAACAUUCCAUGUAUACCUAGAAAUAAUUUGUAUCUUUCUAUUGCUUAUUGGUAUAUUGCAUAAAUAUCAAUUAGGUGGAAAUUUUGGUAGGGUUGUUGAAGUCUUCUAUAAUGUUAACUGAUGUUUAUUUUAUUGGGAGACAAGUGUUGCAAUGUCUAACUAGAUUUGUAGAUCUGUAGCUUUCUCCUUUCAGUUUUAUUGGAUUUUGCUUUUUAUGUUUUAAAGCUUUGCGAUUGAUCCAUAAACAUUCAUGAUUUUUAGAUUCUCUUAAUGAACUGACCUGCUUUAUUGUUAUGAAAUGUCCUUAUUUAUCUCUGGUAAUAGCAUUUUUCGCUGUGACAUAUACUUUGGCAGAUAUUAAUACAGCCACCACAGCUUGCUUUAGGGUUUAUAGUACAUACCUUUAACAUAUCACAUUCUAUCGUCACUAAUAUUAUAAUACUUCAUAUAUGCUAUACAAAAUGUACGUUAUGCUGGGGUAACUUCCAGGUUUUGUUUUAUAAUUGUCAUACCUUUUACUUCAAAUAUACUAUAAAGUCCAUAAUAUAUUAUCACUGAUGUUUUAAAGUCAGUUAUCUUUUAAAGGGAUUUGAAAAAUAAGCAAAAACAUUGUAAUUAGCCAUGUAGUUACCACAUCUGGUGCCUUUAAGCCCUUUGUAUAGAUCCAGAUUUCAAUGUGAAAUAAUUUUAAUUUGAUAACCAUUCCAUUUCUGAAGGACUUCCUUUAACAUCUCUUGCAGUGCAGAUAUACUAAGCGAUUAAUACUCUUAGCUUUUGAAUUUAUUAAACAAAAUCUUAACUUACCAUCAGUUUUGAAAGAUGUUUUCACUGGGUGGAGAAUUUAGGUUGACAAGUUGGUUUUUUCUUUCCAUUCUUUAAAGUUGGGACUAGUCUCUCAUUUGCAUUGUUUCCAAUGAGCAAUCUGCUAUCACACUUAUUUUUCUUCCUCUGUAUCUAAGAUGUAUUUUUGUCUGUGACUUCUUUUAAUUUUAUUAUGAUGUACAUUGAUAGACUUUAGCAAAUUUUACCAAAUUUUAUUAUGAUGUACAUUGAUAGACUUUUAUUUAUGUUUCUUUACUUCAUGUUUCAUGGUAUUGAGUUUCAUGGAUCUGUAAGGUUAUAGGUUUCAUCAAAGUUGGAAAUUUUUCUGCCAUAAUUUAUCCAAAUACUUUUUCUGUAUAUUCUUUCUCCUCCUUAAAUAUUCCUCAAUAAAAUUUAGGUAAUAUUUGCAGCCAUGACAACAAACAAAAUAUCUGCAGAAGGAUAUGUAUAAAGCAGAGAGAUAAAGUCUGUGAAUAAAACCAUAAGGGGCAUCAAUAUUUAAAGGGCAGCAGGAAGGAAUGGAAUGUGUGAUGGUGAUGGAGAAGGAAUGCCAGAAACAAAGAGGAAGAUCAAGAGCACUUACGGCAAAUAAUCUGUUCUGAUAAUAUAUUUCCGCAUAAGAAAUUAUCCCAAACUCGGUGACUUAAAGCAACAAGAUUAUUUUACUGUCUCUUACAGUUUUUGUGAUUCAAUAAUUCAGGAAAAGAUGAACAAUGUGAUUCUGGUUCAGCAUCUCUCAUAAGGUUGCAGUCAGACAGCAGGUGGAGCUGGCAUAGCUGGGAGGUGAAAUAACAGGGGCUGGCUGAGUUUCUCUUUUCAACUAAUCUCAGGUCCUCUCUACAUAGCUUCUCCACAUGGGCUAGUUUGAGCUUUCUUAUAGCAUGGCAGUUUGGAAUAAGUCAUGGCAUAAAUCUUGGCCAAUAGCUUUAAGAUUACUUACUCCACAGAGCAAAGUGGAAGUUCUAUCACAUUAGAAAUCACAUACCAUACUACUGCUAUAUUCUACUG